GUGAAAGUGAAAGUUAAAUUCCUGAUCUGUUCAUAAGAGACAGAGACAGAGCUCGUCUGUGUCGCGGUGCAUGACGGGAUAUAGAAGUGCGUGAAGUGUGCACGGAUGCAGGCUUCGGUUACGUCUGAUCUCCAUGGAAACGGUGCAAAGGGAAGGGCAGGUUUGUCGGCCGCAUUCAGUAGGGUGGGUUGAAAUGGGACAGCCCUUGUCGCGCCGGAAAUUACGUCACUGCCCUUCGAACCGCCCAAUGGUGAUUCUAAGGCCAGCACAUCAAAGGUGCAUUUGUUGAAUUGAGCCAACGCCUGGAGACGCUCGCAGUCGCUAAUCAUAUGAGUCUUGACCUGCGCCGAACCCCUGAGACUGACUCACCGAACCCCUAGGGUUCGAUCGAAUCCUCAGGUUAAGAACCACUGGUCUAGAGGUAAUGUCGAGUGAAUCUUACAAAGAGGUUAAUGCAAUUGUUCAUGUGACAAGUUACGUUAUCGUCAUUUUAAUUCACAAUGUCACCACUCACCGC
ensembl:lncRNA